rnacentral:rRNA from 1 species
CCUACGGGCGGCAGCAGUGAGGAAUAUUGGUCAAUGGGCGGGAGCCUGAACCAGCCACGCCGCGUGAGGGAAGAAGGUACAGCAUAUCGUAAACCUCUUUUGUCAGGGAACAAAGGCGGGGACUAGUCCCCGGAUGAGGGUACCUGAAGAAAAAGCAUCGGCAAACUCCGUGCCAGCAGCCGCGGUAAUCCGGAGGAUGCGAGCGUUAUCCGGAUUUAUUGGGGUUAACGGGUGCGCAGGCGGCCUGUUAAGUCAGCGGUAAAAGCCCGGGGCUCAACCCCGGCGAGCCGUUGAAACUGGCUGGCUGGAGUUGGAGAGAGGUACGCGGAAUGCGCGGUGUAGCGGUGAAAUGCUGAGAUAUCGCGCAGAACCCCGAUUGCGAAGGCAGUGUGCCGGCUCCACACUGACGCUGAGGCACGAAAGCGUGGGGAGCGAACAGGAUUAGAUACCCUUGUAGUC